rnacentral:rRNA from 1 species
GUAGUUAGCCGAGACUUAUUCCCGAGGUACCGUCCUUGUCUCUUCCCCCGGAAAAGAGGUUUACGACCCGAGGGCCUUCGUCCCUCACGCGGCGUUGCUGCAUCAGGCUUGCGCCCAUUGUGCAAUAUUCCUC